UAGUGGCGCGGUUCGUUGGGCGCUCCGCCCGUCAUCGCGACGGGUGGGCUGAAAUGGGAAGUCGGUGCGUUGCGUCUUCCGUCCUGGUUCGCCGGGGCGACUGAAGACAAACAAUUCCGACGCUGCCCCCGCAACGGUGAUCGCGUUUGAGAACGGGCCAUCCCGCCACUGCGCUUCGAUAAGCGUGGGAAGGCGGUCCGUUCUGGUCUGAAUCCACAUUCAGACCGCGCGUCAGUCCGGAGACCGGCCCGACAGUUAACCGCGUG
rnacentral:ncRNA from 2 species